UAGGGAAUCUUCCACAAUGGGCGCAAGCCUGAUGGAGCAACGCCGCGUGUGUGAAGAAGGUCUUCGGAUUGUAAAGCACUUUCGACGGGGACGAUGAUGACGGUACCCGUAGAAGAAGCCCCCGGCUAACUUCGUGCCAG
rnacentral:rRNA from 1 species